CCCUGUGGCUCAGUUGGUAGAGCAUGGUGUUUGCAAUGCCAGGGUUGUGGGUUCGAUUCCCACGAGGG
rnacentral:tRNA from 1 species